rnacentral:rRNA from 1 species
AUACGGAGGGUGCGAGCGUUAAUCGGAAUUACUGGGCGUAAAGGGUGCGUAGGCGGCUUGAUAGGUCGGAUGUGAAAGCCCCGGGCUUAACCUGGGAAUUGCAUUCGAUACUGUCAGGCUUGAGUAUGUCAGAGGUUGGCGGAAUUCCUGGUGUAGCGGUGAAAUGCGUAGAUAUCAGGAGGAACACCAGUGGCGAAGGCGGCUAACUGGGGCAAUACUGACGCUGAGGCACGAAAGCGUGGGGAGCAAACAGGAUUAGAAACCCUAGUAGUCC